rnacentral:rRNA from 1 species
CCUACGGGAGGCUGCAGUGAGGAAUAUUGGUCAAUGGGCGGAAGCCUGAACCAGCCAAGCCGCGUGCGGGAUGAAGGUCCUGCGGGUCGUAAACCGCUUUUGCCAGGGGAUAAAACCUGCCACGCGUGGACGGCUGAAGGUACCGUAAGAAAAAGGAUCGGCUAAUUCCGUGCCAGCAGCCGCGGUAAUACGUAGGGUGCGAGCGUUAAUCGGAAUUAAGGGGCGUAAAGGGUGCGCAGGCGGCUUGUUAAGACAGAGGUUAAAUCCCCGGGCUUAACCUGGGAACCGCCUAUGAGACUGGUUGUCUAGAGUGGGAGAGAGGGAUGUGGAAUGCGGCGUGUAGCGGUGAAAUGCGUAGAUAUGUGGAAGAACACCGAUUGCGAAGGCAGCCUCCCGGGACGCAACUGACGCUGAUGCACGAAAGCGUGGGGAGCGAACAGGAUUAGAUACCCGAGUAGUC